AUAACAACAUUGAAGCUUGAAAGUCCUGUUUAUUGAGAAAUGAAACUCAUGGCAGCAAGGGCAAUGACAAGUUGCAACCAUAAUGGCUGUGUCCCAACUCUGUCCUGGAGUUUCAUGUUCCAGGGGUGAAUGAAUAAUUUAAUCUUCAUGAGCCAUCAAUUCUAGUCCUCC
ensembl:misc_RNA